CAAGUUUUUCACUGGACACGUGGCAUCCCAGAAUAAAAAUAAAGACCAUAUUUUCCAGUAUCUUUUGCAGAUAGUUAGAGGCAGAGGACUCAAGUCUGGCCAAGGAGCGCUUUCACAUCUCCUGCGCAUGCCCAGAAAAUAGUGACCCUUCCAAGAAGAGAGGACAUCACACACAAUUCGGAGGAUAUAUUUGGGAAGGAAAGGAGAAAGACGAGAAAAAGAAGCCUUGGCUCAUGGAUAGGGCAGACUUUCAAGUUCUCAGAGGCUCUCCAUUCACAGGAGAUAAAGAGUUGACAUUAUGCCACUCCUGGUAUAAAAGCCUUUGUUUUGUUCCAUGGCCGGCCCUCUGGAGAUUCUCCUAGCCCUUUGCACCAGCUGUUCCCUCUUCAUAGAAUGUUCUUCCCUUGGAUACACCAGUGACUUGCUCCCUCAUCUUCUCCAACUCACAGCUCAGAUGUCACCUCCUCCAAGAAGACUUCCUGACCCAACAAGCUGAAAUAAUUGCUUCAUUUUUCAUUUUUUUAUUCCCUUGCUGUUAUAUUUUCUUUCAGUGCACAACACCACCCGCUGUAUCACAGAGUUGUCUGUUUCUUGCAGGUGUUCUCUACUGAAAUUCAAGCACCAAGAAGGUCCAAGAUGUUGGGAGAGAGCAGACUAUAGCUGAUAACUCAGGUACCACGUCAUCACAGGGAGUGAGGAGCCUAUCUUUAGCUCUGUCAUCUUAGAAAGAGAUGAUGUCUUCAAGAAAGUAAAACCGAGGCACAGAAAAUAUUGCACACCUUGUGUGCAAAGGCCCCAUGGCAGAAAACAAAAAUAAUCAUGCAGUCAAUAAGUGAAGGGAUAAAAUUUGAGUUCAAAGCUCUCCAUUUCUGGAUCCCACACAUUUAGCUCAAGAAUCUCAAGACUGUGGGAAGAAAAGAUGAGGAGCAGAAAUUAGGAUUUCAGCUCCCUCAGCAUCUGCAAGAGCUGAGCAGAGCAGCCAACCAAGAGCUUGAGGCUAUGUGCUGAAGGUCUGAGAAGGCAGCAGCUAUGUUAAAGCAGCGGAACCUUUGGUUGAGUGAAAUGCUCCACACAUUUUGAGAGUCUCCUGUCUUACAGGCCAUGUACUAAGUUCUGGAACAAGAAAGAUGGAUAAGAUAUGGCAUCUACCUAGCAUUUCUUGUGAUCUAUAAAAUGUUACCAAAUAAGUAAAAUGUUACCAAAUAAGUUCAAAUACAAUAUUAAUGAUACUGUUAAGCCUUUGAGUAUGUACUUAAAAUAAAAAUGAAAAAUUCUAACUGGACAAAAUUCAAUAUAUACAAGACCAGUGUGUCUGAAAGCACAAUCUCCUUGGAUUAGAAGCGUAUAAAUCACUGAGGAAUCUUGCUAAAAUACAUAUUUUUUGCAUCCAACUCAACCUAUAGAAUCAAACACCCUGAGGAGUGUGGUCUGAGAAUCAACAUUGUAAACAAGUUCUCCAGUGAUUCUAAUGCCCAUUGAAAGUACCAUUGAAUUAAAUCAAGAGUGAAUCUGAAUAUUAGAAAAUUAAGACUUGUCUUCUACUUUUUGUACCUUUCUUGGAAAAAUGCGUAAAUAUUAAAUGUCACCACCAUUCCCCCCCCCCCAAAAAAAACCCCUUGUUAAUCCAGCUUCAAGGUAAAAUCCUUAAAUAGUCAAUAAUGGGAAUUCCAAGGUGAAAAUUAUUUCCAUCGUCUCUUGCCUACACAUAAAUAGUCUGGGCUCUUAUUUGCCAAUGCUAAUCGCAAGCCUUCAGAUGUGAUUAUUUAUGCUGCCAAAUCUAUCAUAAAAUAUAAGGUAUAAAUUAC